rnacentral:rRNA from 1 species
UACAGGGGGGGCAAGCGUUGUUCGGAAUUACUGGGCGUAAAGCGCACGUAGGCGGAUUUGUAAGUCAGGGGUGAAAUCCCGGGGCUCAACCUCGGAACUGCCUUCGAUACUGCAAAUCUCGAGUCCGGAAGAGGUGAGUGGAAUUCCUAGUGUAGAGGUGAAAUUCGUAGAUAUUCGGAAGAACACCAGUGGCGAAGGCGGCUCGCUGGACAAGUAUUGACGCUGAGGUGCGAAAGCGUGGGGAGCAAACAGG